GACUAUGCAAAACAGCCCUUGCGCAAGCACAGGCUGAUGGCUGGUGGCUUUUGCCACCGGCCU
rnacentral:sRNA from 1 species